rnacentral:rRNA from 1 species
UACAGAGGUCCCAAGCGUUGUUCGGAUUCACUGGGCGUAAAGGGUGCGUAGGUGGUUGGGUAAGUUUGAUGUGAAAGCUCCGAGCUCAACUUGGGAAUGGCAUUGGAAACUGGCGGGCUGGAGUGUGGCAGAGGGGGGUGGAAUUCCACGUGUAGCAGUGAAAUGCGUAGAGAUGUGGAGGAACACCGAUGGCGAAGGCAGCCCCCUGGGCCAACACUGACGCUCAGGCACGAAAGCGUGGGGAGCAAACAGG